CAAAAUGUAGCUUAACAAAAGCCCCUCGCUUACACCGAAGUAAUAUCUGUUAAACCCGGAUCAUUUUGAG
rnacentral:tRNA from 1 species